rnacentral:rRNA from 1 species
AUCUACAGCCAUACCACCUUGAACACACCUAAUCUUGUCUGAUCUUGGAAGCUAAGCAGGGUCUGGUCUGGUUAGUACUUGGAUGGGAGAAAAAUGAUAUCUGUAGGAA